ACAUUUCUCACUGUGUUUAGGGUGGCUGACAUUUCAUUUGAUGCAGCAAGUUCCCUUCUUUCGAUUGGUUUGGCAUGGGGAGCCUAUCGUGUAAACCGUCUCCUGCUAGAAAGAGUUGUACUUGGAACCAAAAUAAGGAUCGUCGCUAUGGCUAUCUUGUUCGGGUUUCAGAUUUACAUUUGGUCGAAAAUGGAAAAUCCGACUGUCAUCCCUGGAUUUGGUGAGAUUUCGGCAAUUAAG